AUUAAGUUUAUUUUUUAGUUUUUAGAUACAAUAUUUUGACUCUUGGUCUUAUUUGAAAUUUUUUUACAAAUAAUAUUUUUAUUGUUACUAGUUGGUAAAACAUGAAUAGUACUUUAACUAAUUUUUUAAAGUUUUUUAUAAAUUUUUAAAAUAAGAUGAAUGAUCAAACGUUGAACAUAGAAAU
rnacentral:pre_miRNA from 1 species